CGUGUAGGCGGGAUGGUCAGUUAGAGGUGAAAACCUGCGGCUUAACCGUAGGCCUGCCUUUAAUACUGCCAUUCUUGAGUGCGAGAGGGGAAAGUGGAAUUCUUGGUGUAGCGGUGAAAUGCGUAGAUAUCAAGAAGAACACCGGUAGCGAAGGCUGCUUUCUGGCUCGUAACUGACGCUGAGGCGCGAAAGCGUGGGGAGCAAACA
rnacentral:rRNA from 1 species